GGCAAAGGAAGCUGAAGUCAGUGAGAGUCACACCCACCUCCUGAGACAUCCCGUGUGAGGAGAGGAUGGUGGAGGCGUUCAGACACUGGAGGUUUUCCAGAUCACUGAUGUGCAGCUGAGUGAAGACAAAGAGAGCCAGAUGAAGACCCACCCAGGCUCCCAUCCUAUGAGAUUCAUGGACUAUUGUGAUCGGGCAGGUUGUCUGGAGACGGAAACAUGGCUCCUUUUGAACGGAUUCAUGCUUCCAGCUUUCAAUUAGCUCUGCGCUGCUGCCGUGACAGAUGGAGGGAAAAGUCAUUUUCUUUUCAGGCUCUGAUGUGAGUCAAAGGAGAAGGAGGCCGGGGGGCGAAUGAAUCCGACCCGAAGUUGAAUUAUCCUUUUUUAAAUCCUGAGAUAGAAAGAUGAGAGAUGACAGGUUUUUAUUCACAGCAGGGAUUUGUGCAUCAUGUUCAUUUAAUAUCCAGUUCUACAGUAUUUUGACCUCGAACCCCCCGAUUAGUUUCACUGUUUAAGCCCAUGCUAGUGAAGUCGCCAGUCAUCUCUCUGACAGAAAUAUCUCCACAAAUAUUUGAUAGAUUGAUGUGAAAUCGUUCAUGUUUCCCAGAGGAACAGCUUCUAAAACCUCUGUCAAACUUACAGCAAAUGAUGAGCGGCAAAUAUGUAGCUCAUUACUGAAAGGUUUAUGUCCAUACUAACAAUUUGCUUUGUUAUUUCAGGGCAACUUUUGUUAGUUUUACAUUUAUGGGUACUUUUACAUUCAAAAUCUGUAAACCGAUUUUAUG